rnacentral:rRNA from 1 species
AUUGAACGCUGGCGGAAUGCUUUACACAUGCAAGUCGAACGGCAGCACGGGGGCAGCCCUGGUGGCGAGUGGCGAACGGGUGAGUAAUACAUCGGAACGUGCCCGGUCGUGGGGGAUAACGUAGCGAAAGUUACGCUAAUACCGCAUACGAUCUGAGGAUGAAAGCGGGGGAUCUUCGGGCCUCGCGCGAUCGGAGCGGCCGAUGUCAGAUUAGGUAGUUGGUGGGGUAAAGGCCUACCAAGCCGACGAUCUGUAGCUGGUCUGAGAGGACGACCAGCCACACUGGGACUGAGACACGGCCCAGACUCCUACGGGAGGCAGCAGUGGGGAAUUUUGGACAAUGGGCGAAAGCCUGAUCCAGCCAUGCCGCGUGCAGGAAGAAGGCCUUCGGGUUGUAAACUGCUUUUGUACGGGACGAAAAGGCUCUGGCUAAUACCUGGGGCUCAUGACGGUACCGUAAGAAUAAGCACCGGCUAACUACGUG